rnacentral:rRNA from 1 species
GAGCGGAUGAAGGGAGCUUGCUCCUGGAUUCAGCGGCGGACGGGUGAGUAAUGCCUAGGAAUCUGCCUGGUAGUGGGGGAUAACGUCCGGAAACGGGCGCUAAUACCGCAUACGUCCUGAGGGAGAAAGUGGGGGGUCUUCGGACCUCACGCUAUCAGAUGAGCCUAGGUCGGAUUAGCUAGUUGGUGGGGUAAAGGCCUACCAAGGCGACGAUCCGUAACUGGUCUGAGAGGAUGAUCAGUCACACUGGAACUGAGACACGGUCCAGACUCCUACGGGAGGCAGCAGUGGGGAAUAUUGGACAAUGGGCGAAAGCCUGAUCCAGCCAUGCCGCGUGUGUGAAGAAGGUCUUCGGAUUGUAAAGCACUUUAAGUUGGGAGGAAGGGCAGUAAGUUAAUACCUUGCUGUUUUGACGUUACCAACAGAAUAAGCACCGGCUAACUUCGUGCCAGCAGCCGCGGUAAUACGAAGGGUGCAAGCGUUAAUCGGAAUUACUGGGCGUAAAGCGCGCGUAGGUGGUUCAGCAAGUUGGAUGUGAAAUCCCCGGGCUCAACCUGGGAACUGCAUCCAAAACUACUGAGCUAGAGUACGGUAGAGGGUGGUGGAAUUUCCUGUGUAGCGGUGAAAUGCGUAGAUAUAGGAAGGAACACCAGUGGCGAAGGCGACCACCUGGACUGAUACUGACACUGAGGUGCGAAAGCGUGGGGAGCAAACAGGAUUAGAUACCCUGGUAGUCCACGCCGUAAACGAUGUCGACUAGCCGUUGGGAUCCUUG